GUCUAAAAUCAGGCACUACUGUCAAGUUUGGUAUCUGUACUUAGGAUUUUAGAAUUAUAUGGCUUUUGUCUAAGUUAUUCCAGAUCAAAACUUUGAGAAUACACUGAUUAAUUGCUUCAUAUGUCUUUGGAUAUUCUCUCUUAGUUUGAUAUGGAUACAUUUUGGUAUAGGCUGUUCGACGAUGCCUUCCCGUAUGUACGCGUAUAAUCAGAAUUAAUAUGAGUACAGGGACUCAUAUAUGUCGUGCAAGGUCUAGAGCAUGAGGACGGUGCUCUAUCUCUCAGUUGUGCGCAUUUAGUGAUAGGGAUAAUGAGAGAGUUUUCCCCAGGAAUCCUCCGUGUUUCAUUGCUUAUCAUUUUUCCUAUGUUCACUUCUAGUUUUCCCAGAGCUUCAUUGCUCAUCAUUUUUCCUUUGUUCACAUCUAGUUUUCCCAGAGCUUCAUUGCUUAUUACUUCCUCCAUUCACUUCCAGCUUUCCCAAGGAAAAAGGCACCGUUGCUGUAGUAUAGUCCUUAGUCUUGAAUGAAAUAUCAAUGUCUGAUGGUGGCAACAAACUUUACCCCACCCCCCAAAAACAAAAGAGAGGGUGGUAUCAAGAGAAAAGUCGUUGAUGUACUAACUAAUGAUUGUUUGGUGGGACUAAGGAAAGAGGAUAUAAAGCUUAUCAGUUUAUUUCAGCUUAGAUGUCAUCAGUCUUCAGUUUAUUCAGCUACAGAAUGGUAAUUACCAAUGAGUUAUAAGUCCUAUAUAAGUGCUUGGCACAAAUUAUUUCAUUUAUCUAAUCAAACAGCCUAAUGGUAACAUCAUUCUUCCCGCCUUGCAAAUAAAAAAAAGUUCAAAAGAGUGAUUGAACCGACAUUAUGGUUUUGAUAUUUGACAGUCUUGAAAGUGAUUACUUGUAUCAUUUAAGAAAUCUGAGGAAUCUCUGUGUGUGUGUGUGUGUGCGUGCAGGUUUAUGUCAUCAAUGCUACUAAAAGUUGCCCGUGAACACAACUCUGUUGUCGCAGUUGUUGGUAAGGGUCACCUGCCAGGAAUCAAAAAGAACUGGAAGCAACAUAUUGAGGUUAAGGAACUGCUAUCAAUACCCUCGCGCAAGCCUGUCAUUACUGUCGCGAAAGUUUUGACAUCAAUUGGAGCUGCAGUUGCAGGAGUGACCAUAAUAUCUGGCAUCUAUGUUUCAAGCAAGAAAUAAUCAUGAUAGAUGUCUCAGAUGUACGUGUCUUGGCUUUCAAUUUAGACAUCAUCGAGGCUAAUCUAUUGCGACUCACAGCAUCUGAAGCGGCCGUGCAUUGCUACUGCUCUUCUACAUUUUCAGCAGUUCAGGGUCAUUACAUGGAGGAAAGGGAAAUUGUCAUUUUGCAAAAUUUCCUGUGGACAUCUUUUCUAAAUUCUAAAAAACUGGAGACGGACAGAUAAUGAGAAGUAAUUUUCCUAUAGCACUUCGCUUGUUCACUCCACAUCUGUUAUGAUCCCCCCUUCCUCUCCAAAUUUCGCUUGAUCUCACUGUUUGUGUCUUCUGAAAAUGGUGCACUGGCUGCUCAGCUUGUUCUCUAAUUUGAUAUAUUUAGCCUGUCAUUUUGUUAACUGUAGCUGAAUCUUGGUCAUAUAACAGAGCAACAUAAAUUGAACACA